rnacentral:lncRNA from 1 species
CCUGGAAGAAAUGGCGAACAUUUGAACCGAAGAAGUGCACCUGAUAGAAUAUUUAAAUUCAUUGAUUUUUAUUAAUAACAGGAUUGACAAGUAGUAAAUAAGUUUAAGGUAAGUUGAUAAUAAACUGUUUUCGGGGUUGACAAUCGUGAAACAUGUAUAUUUGUCGAGAAACUUCAUCUAAAAUCACGUGCAUAUAUUUACAACUUCUUUAUUUUGAUUGCAUCUUGCCCUACUUACAAAAGUUUAAAAGUUUUGUGUAUCAAUAGUUAUAAUUUACAAAUGUCUUCUUAUGAUAUGCCUAUUAAACACAACUUUCGAAAUUGCAAAGAAAUAAAAGCGGAAAGGUGUUGAAAAGAUUUGAAAAAAAUAAAGCAUUAUAACUUAUAAAGACAAGAAAUAACUGUGUCAGCUGUAACGGUUGCAUUUUCUUUGUUUUCCUUUAUAUAUGAUAGUAAAUAAGUAUAUAAGGAAGAUAAUUCAGUUAAUCAAGUAAAAAGAUGUAAAACAACACAAACAAAUAAUCUUAACUUUAUAGAAAAAAUAGCUUGUAACUGUUUAACUUUUUAAAAGUUAUGUUUUAUGAUGUAUUUCCUCACAUUGACAUUAUAAUUAAUGAACUAUUUCCUAAAUGCAAAGAUAGAUUUGUAUGUAUAUAGUUUAAAAGCAUCAAUACUGUUACCAUUUCCUUUUUAUCUUAAUAAUCAAUUAAAAUUGGCAUGUUCUGUAAUAGGGCACCUGUGUGUUUUAUUCACAUGUAUUGUUUAGAUCUAUGAUCAGCUGGUAUUGACUAAUUAAUGCCAAGUGUGUACAUUCCAUAGUAAAAAUGUAAAUCUAGACGCUCCAUUCAAAGUAUCAUAUGUACAAGAUGGCUGUGUUAUUGAUAUAAAUAGUAACAACUUAAUUUAAUAAUUCCUUUAAGGGUGUGUUUUAUAAUGAGCCAAAUGACCUUCAGUCCUUCCUGGAGUGUUUACAUGCACAAAACAUUUAUAAUUGGCUUUUAAUUAUGAUCAAUAGAUCCAUAGUGCUAUAGACUGGUUAUAAAAAGGUUUAAAUACACCUCAUGGACUGUAAAAGAUUUAAAAAAAAUAUAAUGAUAUCAUUCAACUUUACAUCUUUGUUGUAUGAUAUGAUUUCAGGUAAUGGCAUUUUAGUAAAGGUUUUAAAAAAUAAACAAAGAUUUACCGGUCUAUUAGGACAAGGACUCACAAAGUGACAAAACCAAACUUUUCCAAUAAUUAGUUUUGUGGGCUGUAGAUUGCGGAUACAAUAGCCCAGGAAAAAUCUCCAAUAUCAUAUGCCUAGAGAAGGUAGUAGUAUCAUCAUGUGAACCCUUACAUGGUAAUUUAUUAGAAAAUAAAGGUGAUCACUGGUAUAAUUUUUGUGUAGGACUAUGAUUCUGCCCAGAAAUCAUGCCAUAACAGACUCAGACAAUCAUCUGAUGUUCAACCAAACCAUUAUGCCACAACCAAAACUUACAGUCAUAUAAUGUCUAAUUUCACCAAACCAUUAUGCCACAACCGACACUUACAGUCAUGUGUUAUCUGAUUUCACCAAACCAUUAUGCCACAAUCAAAACUUACAAUCAUAUGUUGUCUGAUUUCACCAAACCAUUAUGCCACAGCCAAAACUUAGUCAUAUGAUGUCUAAUUUCACCAAACCAUUAUGCCACAACCAAAACUUACAGUCAUAUGUUGUCUGAUUUCACCAAACCAUUAUGCCACAGCCAAAACUUAGUCAUAUGUUGUCUGAUUUCACCAAACCAUUAUGCCACAGCCAAAACUUACAGUCAUAUAAUGUCUAAUUUCACCAAUCCAUUAUGCCACAACCAAAACUUACAGUCAUAUGUUUUUGAUUUCACCAAUCCAUUAUGCCACAACCAAAACUUACAGUCAUAUGUUUUUGAUUUCACCAAGCCAUGAUGACGAAACUGAAACUUACAGUCAUAUAUCUGAUUCAAACACGCAAUUAUGCCACAACAGACACUGACAGUCAUAUGUUGUCUUGAUUCCAACAAGAAAUUUGCAACAACAGACAACAUACUCUGACAAUUAUCUUUUGUCUGAUUUUACCAAGCAAUUAUGUCCCCAGACAUCAAACUCUGACUAUCAUCUGGAGUCUAAUUCCACCAACCAAUUAUAUCCCCACAGACAUCAAACUCUGAAUAUCAUCUUAUGUCUGAAUCCACCAACCAAUUAUGUCCCCACAGACACCAAACUCUGAAAAUUAUCUAGUGUCUGAAUCCACCAACCAAUUUUGUCCCCACAGUCAUCAAACUUUAAAAUCAUCUGGUGUCCUAUUCCACCAACCAAUUAUGUCCCCACAGACAUCAAACUUUGACUAUCAUCUGGAGUCUGAUCCCACUUACCAAUUAUGUCCUCACAGACAUCAAACUUUGACUAUCGUCAUGUGUCUGAUUCCACCAACCUAUUAUGUCCCAUAGACAUCAAACUCUGACAAUCAUCUGGUGUCUGAAUCAACCAACCAAUUAUGUCCCCACAGACAUCAAACUUUGACUAUCAUCAGGUGUCUGAUCCCACAAACCAAUUAUUCCCCACAGACAUCAAACUUUGACUAUCAUCUGGUGUCUGAUUCCACCAACCAAUUAUGUCCCAACAGACAUCAAACUCUGACAAUCAUCUGGUGUCUGAUUCCACAAACCAAUUAUGUCCCCACAGACAUCAAACUUUGACAAUCAUCUGGUGUCUGAUUCCACGAACCAAUUAUGUCCCAACAGACAUCAAACUUUGACAAUCAUCUGGUGUCUGAUUCCACAAACCAAUUAUGUCCCAACAGACAUCGAACUUUGACAAUCAUCUGGUGUCUGAUUCCACCAACCAAUUAUUCCAAACAGACAUCAAACUUUGACUAUCAUCUGGUGUCUGAUUCCACCAACCAAUUAUGUCUCCACAGACAUCAAACUCUGACAAUCAUCUGGUGUCUGAUUCCACCAACCAAUUAUUCCCCACAGACACCAAACUCUGACAAUCAUCUGGUGUCUGAUUACACCAACCAAUUAUGUCUCCACAGACACCAAACUCUGACAAUCAUCUGGUGUCUGAUUUCACCAACCAAUUAUGUCCCCACAGACAUCAAUCUCUGAAAAUCAUCUGGUGUCUGAUUCCACCAACAUAUUAUUCCCCACAGACACCAAACUCUGACAAUCAUCUGGUGUCUGAUUCCACCAGCCAAUUAUUCCCCACAGACAUCAAACUUUGACUAUCAUCUGGUGUCUGAUUCCACCAACCAAUUAUUCCCCACAGACAUCAAACUUUGACUAUCAUCUGGUGUCUGAUUCCACCAACCAAUUAUGUCUCCACAAACACCAAACUCUGAAAAUCAUCUGGUGUCUGAUUCCACCAACCAAUUAUGUCCCCACAAACACCAAACUCUGAAAAUUAUCUGAUGUCUGAUUCCACCAGUAAUUCUAUUCAAAUAGGCAAAUUGUGUACACUACAGUUUAAUCUGUAACUGUAUGUUCACCUCUUAUAUUAAUGUCUUUUUUGCUCAAUGUAUUCACAUCUUUUUUGUUUGUGUCCCAUAUGUUAUAUGUUGUUUAGCUUAAUUUUGUAAUUCUGUUCUGGUUAACAGUGACAUACUGUUACAUAUGUCUAAUGUUUAACUCUGCACACAAACCAUUUCUCUUGUGCAAUAGUCAAAAUUCAGUCAUCUUUUUCUUUAUUAAACCAUCAAUGCCAAAUUUAUGCAAAUUGUGAACUUUAAAUAUUGGAAAAUUAUAAAAUUUGUAUUAUCAAAUUCUUUUAUUUUUUUUUAUUUUAGUGUGAUAACCAUACCUUAGCAUUUCUAUACAGUAUUUCGUCAGCCAUUCAGCCACAAGAUUUUAUUCUUCCGUUCUUCUUUGUGUUACAUGAAUGAGGAUAAUUUCACAAGUUAGUGUUAGAUAAAUUGCAAUGGAAUAUUUUAUCAUGAAAAAAUGCAUAAUAAUUUUCUUGUGCAAUUUCUUUUAAAAAACCUAACAUUUGCCCACUGAUUUUAACAGUUGUGAUAUAUUUUAUAGAUAUAAAUCACACAAUGGCAUUCCUGGUCUCAGCAUAAAGUAAGAAAGUUUUCACAGGUGAGUCUGAAAUGAUACAUAUCUACCAAAUUUAAUUAAGUUACAUUUUGAUAAGUUAAUAAUGUAUAAUUGAGGUGACAACCGAUUUAGAAUCGUGGUUCAAUAGGUGUGCAUAUAUCUGUGUGUUAAUGGAGUAAUGUUAAGGCUUUUACAAAUAUAAUAAAAUAGUCAAUCAUUUGGUUUUACCUGGAAAGCGUAGAAAAAAUGACAGAUUCUGGGAUAUGAUUUAUGUGUAUUACUUCAGAGAUUUUUUUGAGAUAUGUACAGAGGCAGUUUUUCUUUAAGGUCAGUUUAGAAAUAUUUUCUUCUUAGUAAAUGUGGUAUUGACUUUUGAUAUACCUUUUUGUAGUAAUUAGUCAUGUUUGUAUCAUGCCUUUGAUCUGUACUUAUUACAGAAAACAGGUGUAAACAGAUUGAUUGGAUUAUGGUAAAGUUAUGAAAGUUGAGAUCCUUGGGGAGGGAUCUAGUGUGGGAAUUUUUGAAAACUGAGAUAUUUUGGGAGGGGUCUAUAAACUAACUAUGAAUGAAGAUGUCAUAAAAAUUAUCAGAAGAGAUGUUUGGAUUAAUAUAAUAAGAGAGGGUGUAGAGAGUGGACUGUUAACAAGAUAUUAGUUGUGAUGCCAUAAUUAUAUUUAUUUGAUAAGCAUAUUAUUGCUUACAUGUUCUGAACAUUUAUUUAGAAUACAUUUAAAGUGAAUCAAGUUGGAAGUAGUUUAUAUAUAAUUGUAAAGCAUGGAUUGCUUAUAAACUGUUAGAUUAGUUAAUGGGAUUUUGAUACUUUUCCACUAUCAAAAUAAUUUGAGAUUUUAAUUACUGUUGAAGAACCCUGUUGAUUCUUGACUGAAUAUCUCAAUUAACAUGAUUUACAGUAUGUUCAUGUUAAGUGUUGACAGUCCAUUUGAAAUUUUGAUGUAAUUUUUAUUAGUAUUAAAAGCAAAGGAGUAAAGUAUCCAGAUUAUUUUUAAGUUAAUUUUGUAAAACAGUUUCCCCAUAUUGAGCCCCACAUGCAUGAAAGUAAGAGAAAGAAUGCUGCAUUAUCUGUAGUAAAUUGACUACUCAGCUGUGUUUUGGCAGUUGUAAGAUUAUUGUGUGAUUCACUUACAUUUAUCACUAAACACAUAAUUUACAAAAAAAAAAGAAAUUGUAAACACACAAAGAUAGGAAUUAUUAGAUACAUUUACUGAAAAGUUCAACUUAAUCAAUUUUAUAGCUUCAAACUUAAAGUUUUUGUACACAAAUUACUUCAAAACAAAGUGUAUUUUUUGUUGGACUAAAGGUGACUUUUCAUGAUGAAAUAUACUUUUGUGUUGCCUUUUAAUACCUUAUUUUAUAGAAUAAAAUCAUGGAGGUUCUUUGUCAUUGAAUCUUGUUUCUUGGUCUUUACCACAUUUUUUUUUACUCACUUAGGUCAAGUUUUCAUGACUUUAAAUAUAUUCCUCAAUACCAUAUUGGGUAUUAUAUCUAUGUCAAUACUAAACUUUAAAGGUCAAAAAUAUAUGAUGUGAGACAUAUAUGUUUGUCAAACAUGCCUAUAUCUAUGUAUGACCUGAUCUUUGUUCACCCUGCUGUGGUCAGUUGAGGUCUUUUACUUUGCUCUAUACAUUAUAAGAUGUUAUUAGUCAACAAUAUUUGAUAUAUGAAUUGGUUGGGAGGAGAAAAUGUCCAAUUGACAUAUGUUUUAUAGCUUUGACCUCAUCCUGAAGUGUAAGAGGACAAGUGUACCAAACAGGUUUCAUUUGACCUUGGCAUAUAUAGGUUUUAAUUACUGGUACUUUAAAGUAUUGCAAAAUGUGAGGCAGUGUACCAACUCUUGUUUUCAAAUUUUAUCAGUCUAUUGAAAACCAACCCCAAGAUAUUAACAGUACAGGGGUGUAGGAAAUUAUUGAUAACAUGUAUUCAAUUCCUACAGAAAUUGUAUAACAAGUAGACACCUUCAAAAUAGAACUGAUCAUAUAAAACUUACUGAUAUUUCAAAGUAAAUACUUCCUUCAAAUCUAUAUUUCUGUUGAUUAUUUUUCAUUUGUGCACUUUUGUAAAAAAUAAAACAUUGUUUUAUAAACAAAAUCAAGUAGUAUUUAAUAAUCUUUGUCCUCCUAACCCAGGACAAAAAGGGGGGGGUUCCAACUACAUGUCCUCAUUUAAAUGCAUUGAUCGUAAAAAAAAAUGGUGGUGGGUUCCAUUCCCGGAAACUCCGCCUCCUGGAUCUGCCACUGCUCUAUCCGUCACACACACACGCACACAUCCAGGCUGUCGACUGCCUGUCUAAAUGGACCUUUCACAGAUUCAAUAUAACAUGGACAGCUGAAGUAAAACUAAGAUUGUUUCCAACAGAAAUAAGGAUACUUUAGAUUACGUCACUAUCUAGUAGAACACUAAUUAUUCAGGUUUUUAGAUAACUUAUAAUGUUAUAUCUGUAGUAUGACCCAAUUCAAAUCAGGACAAUUCAUUUUUUGAAUUAAGGCUGUUAAAGUAUUUUAAUAACAUUUUUAUUACCAAAUAAAGAGGUACAAAAACACCCCACUGCUUAUAAGGAAGUAAUAUCCUUAGAUAAUGUAUGCAUAGAAAUCUUUGUUAAAGUAAAGUUGUACUAACAUUAACUUCUCCCAUUAUUAAGUGUUAGAUUUGAAUUAAAGAGAUAUGAUGGAUCUCAACAAGAUAGCAGAGACCCAAACCACUUGAAAAAACAAAAGACAUUCACAUAAUCUUUACCUGUUCCUCUACAAACUUUUUUCCAAUGUAUAAAGGGAAUCAUCAAAUGCUAAUUGGAUUAUUUUUUUUGCUUUUAAGUGUUGCCAGAUACAUUUAUAAACAUAUAACAGUAAUUUGGUUAACUUGUAAAGAGAGUCCAUUUGGUCUAGUUAUAAAUAUGUGUUUUGAUACUGUGUUGUAUUAAUGGUAAAUAAUAAACUGUAUAUUCAGAAAUUAUUGCGAUUUUGUCCCUUUAGACUAAAAUGCGAUUUAUUUUUGCAAUAUUGACAAAAUCCUGUUUAAUCCAUACAAUAAAUUUCAGAUUGUGAGUUUAAAUAAUUGGGAUUAGCUGACACUGACACUACACCUCAGUGCCAGUACCAUCAACUUAAACACUUACACAACACCUCAGUGCCAGAACAAUCAUCUGACACUGACACUACACCUCAGUGCCAAUACAAUCAACUUAAACACUGACACUACACCUCCGUGCCAAUACAAUCAACUUAAACACUGACACUACACCUCAGUGCCAGUACAAUCAACUUUAACACUAACACAACACCUCAGUGCCAGAACAAUCAGCUGCCACUACACCUCAGUGCAAGAACAAUCAGCUGACACUGACACUACACCUCAGUACAAGUACAAUUCACUGACACUGACACUACACCUCAGUGCCAGUACAAUCAACUUAAACACUGACACUACACCUCAGUGCCAGAACAAUCAGCUGCCACUACACCUCAGUACCAGUACAAUCAUCUGACACUGACAGUACACCUCAGUGCCAGUACAAUCAACUUAAACACUGACACUACACCUCAGUGCCAGUACAAUCAACUUAAACACUGACACAACACCUCUGUGCCAGAAGAAUCAUCUGACACUACACCUCAGUGCCAGUACAAUCAACUUAAACACUGACACUGCACCUCAGUGCCAGAACAAUCAGCUGACACUGACACUACACCUCAGUACUAGUACCAUCAACUUAAACACUGACAUAACACCUCUGUGCCAGAAUAAUCAACUUAAACACUGACACAACACCUCAGUGCCAGAACAAUCAGCUGACACUGACACUACACCUCAGUGCCAGUACAAUCAACUUAAACACUGACUACACCUCAUGCAGUUCCAACCACUUAAACACUGACACUACACCUCAGUGCCAGUACAAUCACUGAUCAACAUCAGUCACUGACACUACCUCAGUGCAGUAAUUAACUUUAACACUUGACACUACCCUCCCAGUCAAGCAGAAAACUGACACUACACCUCAGUGUCAGACCACAGCUGAGACUACACCUCAGUGUCAGUACAAUCAGCUGACCACUGUGCACUAACCUCAGUGCCAGUACAGUCAGCUUAAACACUGAUAAUACACCUCACUGCCAGUACCAUCAGCUUAAACACUAACACUACACAUCAGUGCCAGUACCAUCAGCUGACACUGACACUACACUCAGUGCCAGUACAAUCAGCUUAAACUGACACUACACCUCAGUGCAAUACAAUCAGCUAGACACUGACACCACACCUCAGUGCCAGUACAAUCAGCGUAAAAACUGACCCUACACCUCAGUGCCAGUAAAAUCAACUGACACUGACACUACACCUCAUUGCUAGUAUCAUCAGCUUAAAAACUGACACUAAACCUCAGUGUCAUUAUUAUCAGUUAUAACACUGACACUACACUUCAAUGCCUGUAACAUCAGCUUAAACUCUGACACUACACCUCAGUGCCAAUACAAUCAGCUUUAACUCUGACGUUUUACCUCAGUGCCUAUACAAUCAGCUUAAACACUGCAAUACAUACCAGUCUCAGUACUGUCUUCUUAAACACUUACAAUAUACCUAAGUACCAGUAAUAUCAGCUUAAACACUGAAACUACACCUCAGUGCCUAUACAAUCAGCACAAACACUGACACUACAUUUCAGUGCCAAUAUCAUCAGCUUAUAACACUGACACUACACCUCAGUGCACAUACAAUUAGCUGACAAUGACAAUACACCUCAUUGCCAGUACAAUCAGCUCAAAUACUGUAAUACUUAUCAGUCUCAAUAUUGUCUUAAACACUGACAGAACACCUCAGUGCCAGUUAUAUAAACUAAAAACACUGACAAUACACCUCAGUGCCUGUACCAUGAGCUUAAGCACUGACACAUCACCUGAGUACCAGUACAACUAGAUUAAACACUGACAAUACACUUCAGUGCCAGUACAAUCAGAUUAAACACUGACACUACACCUUAGUGUCAGUACCAUCAGCUUAAACACUAACACUACACCUCAGUGCCAGUACAAUCAGUGUAAAUACUGACACUACACCUUAGUGCCUGUACAAUCAGCUUUAAAACACUGACACCACACCUUAGUGCCAUUACAAUCAGCUUAAACACUGAAUCUGUUAACUUCAGUAUCAUUGGCUUAAAUUCUAACAAUGUUAGCUGAAAUACUGACUUUCUUUGCCUUUGAAAUACACUGACUAAAAUAUAUAUGCUACCAAGUCGGAAAACAUUGGAUAAAAAUAAAAAUGAGAAAAAAAAAGUUAUGAACAUAAAAGAACUCAUUGUUAAUGUUCAGGUGUUUCAAGAUUAUAUCUGUCUGUUUAUUAGGUGAAAAACACAUGAAAUUGUCAUUAAGCCUUUUUUCAUAAUAAUAAUAUUUCAUUAAACACAUCCAAUAGUGUCUUUUCUGUUAGAGCUAUUGAUAUUUCCAAGUAGAUAAGAUCUAGAAAUAGUAUACCUACAUCAAUAUGGUAUGUCCUAGUCAAGAUGGACAGAUUUUUCCAUCACAGUAGAAGGUAUGGGCUGUUGUUGGUUUUUUUAAUUCAUUUUCAGUAUAUCUGGGUCACUUAAUAAAUUUUUCUCAUGAUAAGAAUUAAAUUGGCAACCAUUUGAUAUUUAGUGUAAUAGGGGUUUGGGUCAGGUGUAUUUGGAAAAUAAAUUUUAUCUGUUAUAUUUAGAGGAGAUAUUUUAUUCGAACUGAAUCUUUUUUUUGGUUGAUUGUCUAAUAGGAUUUUUACCUCACUUCAGGGUCCAAACUGCAAAGCCAAUGUCCUCAUUUGAUAGUUUAAAUUCAGUGUAAUUUGACCUUUCAAAUACAAUUUAACUUUCACACUGCCUUUUGUAUUAUGAUACAAAACAUGAAAAAGAUUGCAAUGCAUAUUUUGAAAUGAAAGGUGAUAUCUUCCCUGAAUUAUUUACAGGUCAAGAAGCCAGUCUUGCUGCUCUUUCUCAUUUUUUAAAUGGACCACCAAAAAAAAAAGAUUGCACAAUCAAACAAUUUAAAACAUAAUGUGAUUUAAUAUUUAAAUCAUUCUUCAAAAAAGAGAUUAAUAAUGACAAUAAAGUUUAAAUAAAGGUUUAAAAUUUCAGUUUGUAGAUUUAUAGAUUAAGAUACUGUUUCAUCUUGGUGUUAUAUUUCUUGUUUCUUUUCAUUUAAUGCAUUUUUAUAAAAGAUUUAUUUUUGACAAAUUAAAAUAAAAUGCAACUUCAUCCUAUCUGAGGAACAUCUGUGUUGUGUUGUCCUGCAGUCAAGAAAUAUAUAUGUAUUUUUGUAAUGUUGAAAGCUAUUCAAAAACAAUAAGGAUUACUAUUGACUAUCCUUAUGGUCUUAUUUUUCUUAUAAAGGUUUUUAAAAACAAAAUCCAUCUUUAAAUUAUUUUUUUCAAAAUAUAUGGAAAUAAAUACCAAUGAUUUGUACUGUGGAUUAAUUUAUUGUCAUGGUGAUUUAUAUUCAUGGAUUAAUGAAAAUUGUUUAUUUUCAUGGAUGUUUGAUUUUUUGUGAUUUUGUCAAAGUCUGCAUAUAAGCCAAUAGAUUUGUGGUUUAUUUUUACCCAUGGAAUCCACGAAAAUUAAUAUUCCAUGAAUAAUGAUGAAUCCAUAGUAAAGCAUAACACUUCAAAAGCGUAUAAACACACAUGUAGGACUGAUAUUUCAAACUUUAAUAUUUUGGUUAAGUUUUGCAAACAAGUCCUCAAAAACAUAUAUUCAUUUAUAUUCCUGGGUACCAAUUUUUAUGGAGGGGGCAUUAAUUUUUACCCUUAUCCCUCUUAUGAAUAGAAUAGAAUAGAAUAGAAUAUUUUUAUUUACCAAAUUAGGGCCCCAGGAGGGCAUAUAGCAUACAGACAAAUUAUUAUUAAACAAUAACAUAUGCAAUACACAAACAAUAAAAAUAUGUAACAAUGUUAAAAAAAUAAUAAAAUAAAAUAAUAUACCAAGAAAAUACACUCAACAAAAUGUAGCAAUGUAUUAUUAUCAAUGAAUACUAUGUUGACCUUGACUCAAGUGCACCGGUAAGUGUAUUUUCACUUUGAAAAGACAAACAGUUUGUGCGGAGAAAUCUCAAUAUAAAAAAUACAACAACAAAAAAAAACAACAAUUAAGCACUCGCACAUUUGACUAUGUGGUAUACUGCAAAUAACAAGUAUAUUUAAUAAAGGAUAUUUGAUAUGACUUAUCUGCAGAAAGUAUGUACGUACAUCCAUCUGUCUGUCCAUCUGUACUUCCGAAAUUUGGUUUAUGUUCUAUAACUUUAGUUUUACCAAAUGUUAUGAAACUUAAUCACAAUGCUUAUUACCUCAAAAUACAGAUCAAGGUUGAAUUUUGGUUGUUUCAAUUAACUGUUCUACAGUUAUGCCCCUGUACAAAUGAAAAAAGCUUUCCAUGCUCCAAAUUAAGUUACCCUUUACCAAAUGUUAUGAUAAUUAUAUUCAUUGCUUAUCACCACAAAAUACAGAUAAAGUUUGAAUUUUGGUUGUUUCACUUUUACUGUUCUUCAGUGAUGUCUGUUUAUAACGUUACUGUGGAUUCAUUUAUUUUCGUGGGUACCAGUUUUCGUGGAUUGAGGAAAACUUACAUGUUAGUGGAUAUUUGAUUUCGUGGUUUUGCUGAAGUCUGCAUACAAGCCAUAAGAAAAUUUGUCAUUCGUUGACAAUUUAUUUUCAUGGUUCAACUGUUCCCACGAAAUCCACGAAAAUUGGUAUCCAACGAAUAAUAAUGAUUUCACAGUAUAUGGUAUGCAAGCAGCAGCUUCAUCUGUGUCCCAUGGACACAGUACCCAUUUAUUUGGUUUUGUCAAAGUUUGCAUACAUUCUUAUUGAACAUUUGUAAUUUGUUGAACCUCAUAUUUAUAACCAGGAAAAGCGCAAAAAUUGUUAUCCAUGGAAUACUAAUGAAUCCACAGUAACUUCAAACAAGCUUAUCUUUACAUUCUUUGGAUAAGAAAUCUUGACAUUUUUAUUUAUAUUAAAAGAAGUAUCCCAAUCUACCUCUAACAAAAUUUGACAAAAAAAUCCUUUUUUACAUAAUUUGAAUAUUUAUAUCAAGUAUACAUAGUACACUGAAAAGUACAAUGAACAAUGAAUUGCUGUGCAGCAUAUUUAAAUAUAGAAAUUCCAGAAAUGAUUUCCUUUGUUUUCAAUGUUUUCAAUCUUCUUCUUUGAAAAAAAAAUUGCAAGUGACUGACAAGUAAAAACACUUAAAAGAUAAAGUAGCAAUGGAUCUUUUAUCACCUCUGUUUCUUUUCUGACAACUCUGAUAAACUUUGAGGAAAACAACUUGUUCAAGAAAAAAGUGGGUAUCUUUCAAAAAAGAUUAUGUAAACAAAUCUCAUGCUAUCAGAUAUACUGCUCUACAAAAUAAAUUUCAGAUGAAAAUAAUUAAUUACAAGUCAUUAUAACAAAGAUACAUUAAUGUUGUUGACAGGCUUAGGAUUUUCCCUAUCAUAUUCAGAAUUUCUUGGAAGGUUUUCUUUAAUAAUUGUGUACAUUGCUUUAGGGAAUAACCCACAUAUAUGUACGGUGAGAUUUUGGUUCUUGCAUGACCAUUGGGAUUGGUAAUAUUAUCUAGUUAUCUUUGAUAACUAUGACAAAAAUAAAUGGUGAUAUCAUACACUAUUUUUAUAAAGAUAAAAAAGAAGAUGUGGUAUGAUUGCCAAUGAGACAACUAUCCACAAAAGACCAAAAUGACACAGACAUUAACAAUUAUAGGUCACUGUACGGCCUUCAACAAUGAGCAAAGCCCAUACCGCAUAGUCAGCUAUAAAAGGCCCCGAUAAGACAAUGUAAAACAAUUCAAAUGAGAAAACUAACGGCCUUAUUUAUGUAUAAAAAUGAACGAAAAACAAAUAUGUAACACAUAAACAAACGACAACCACUGAAUUACAGGCUCCUGACUAGAAGGGAGAAGGCCUGGAUACUUCAUACCUUGUAUGCAGAUGCCUUAUGUUACAAAAUUCGGUCUGCCGUCAACUAUAUUUGGUGUACAGAUUGAUUUUAAUGUAUGUAUAUUUCCUUCUGGCAAGAUUUGUGUGACCAUGAUCUCAUUUCUUAUUUCAUGGUCAAUGUUAAAUUUUUUCAUGGUUUUGUCUGUCAACAAAUACAAACAGCAAACUAUGUGCAUGGAACAAUUGUUAGGUGUAAAUGUCUGUCUGGAAGGUUCAUCUGACCUUGACAUCAUUUUAAUUGCUGACUAGUCACUAAAGUUUUCAUGGUUAUGUUUGUUUUUCAAAUACUGUUAGCAAAAUGUCAAUUAAACUUGGUGUAUUUAAUUAGUUUAUGGUGUACAUGUCUGAGUGGCAUGGUUCAUUUAACCUUGACCUCAAUGUCUUGGUUCAUUGAUCAAUGUUAAAUUCUAUAAGGUCUGUUAACCAUAAGCAAUAGAUUAAAUAUAUUUGGUAUAUGUUAUGAUUGUGAGAUGUUCAUGUCUGUCUGGGUUAAUCUAACCAAGGCCUCAUUUACAUUGGUCAUAUUGAAAGUGUUAAUUUUAUUUAAAACUUAUAGUAAAGCAUAAAUUCAAUCAUGACAAGUAAAGCAGACGAGAGAUUUCAGUGUGUGCACUCCUGUUUUAACCAGUUUUAGUCUUUUGUGUAGGAACUGUGUGUAGAUACCAUAAAUGAUCACCAAGGCAAGAUUACAAAUAAGUCUUAAUACAGUAGAAACUGUCAAAAAUAUUUGCAAUUAGAAUUCUAAUGAACCAAUUUAAAGCAAACUAGACAUGAAUGAUGCUAAGUAUGUUUAGAUUUUAGUUUGUAAAUUAAAUUCUGGUCUAUCAAAAAACAUUGCAACCAUGACAAUAGAAAGUUUUUGACACCCUUCAGUUCAAGUUUUAAGGAGUAUAAUGGAAUCACCAUAUUAACUGUCUUUCCAUCUGUCUUACAAUGUGCUUUGUAACAGCAACUUCUUUUAAAUAGCUAAAGGGAUAUUGGUGAAACUUGACAUGAAAUCUAACCUUACCUGGAGAUGUGCAUAUAGCAAUAAAAUCACUGUCUUUCAUGUUAAAGGGGAAGUUAUCAAAUUUAUUUACUACAGUACUGUAAUAUGUGGAAAAGUCACACUCCUAAAGCGUUAUUCAAAUGGAUGAAACUUAAAAGUAGAACACAAGCUGAGGAUGUGCUAGAGGGAAUAUAAUUGUGGUCCAAAAAGGAAUAAAUGUACCUGCUUCAAUAUGUCUUCUGAAAGCUCUUCCCCCUUCUAAACUAUUUGAAGAAUAUUUAUCACACUCUAUACAAUGGUAGUUCCCUCAUGCUAAAAUUAAACAAAACUGUAUUUCUUAUUUAAAUAUUGCAAUAUGUUGCAAUAAUCUCCCCUAAAAAUCAGUCUUUAAAUCUGAUGCGAACAUUAUAAAUACUGUGAACCAACUCACUUUCAUGAACACUUAAUUUUUGAAACUUUUAAGUCAUGCUAAAUUACUGAAAUCUUCAAAAUUUUAGCAUUUGAGUUAAAUUUUAGACUGUUUACAUAACAUAUAUGUAGGACUCUAAGGUUCAAUGGUACUCUAAAGUGCGAUGGUAACACUAAAGUGCGAUGGUCUACGCUUAAGUACGAUGGUGUCUCACGCUAAAGUACGAUGGUUGUUUGUUUGCUAAAGUGUGACGGAUAUAGCACGCUAAAGUGCUAUGGAACAAAAGAGAAAGAUUCAAAGGAACUAAUGUUAAAAACAAGUCUUUUUGCAAAAUCUAGUCGGCUAUGAUAUUACAUAUAAUGCGAUAGGCUUUUACUUUACCGGUAGUCUUAUGUGACUGUUUCUAAAUUAAGAAGACAAAUUUUCAAUUUGCAACUGGCAAGGGGAUGUGUUGACAUUAAAAGUCUGUGUAAAUGACAAGCUACAUCCAAUACGCCGCUCGUCCUGAACAUGCAUGAACUAUUUGCCACUGGACAGAAUAAAUAAAAUUUAUAUUUCCCCUUUUUCAUAGCGAGUAUUAAUACAUGUUAUAUUUAACCAUAAUGUACACACUGAUGUUUUAAUGGACAAUUUCUGUGUUACGCUUGAAAACGUGAACCUUUAUUUUACCGAUGUUUGUACUCUUCAAUAAAAUCAAUAUUUAAAUAUAAACGUCUGUUCGCUUCCAUUAUUUAUUUAUUUCAUAUUCCGGUAUGUUCAUUUUUGGUUUGUAUAAACGACUGUUAACGUCAUAAUCCAACUACAUUUGUACGUCUAUACUUUGGCAGACCAUCGCACUUUAGCGUAUGGAGGCAUCUGACUUUAGCGUAGACCAUCCUACUUUAGCGUCCCCAUCGCACUUUAGAGUCCUACAUAUAUAUAUAUAAAGGUUGAGAGUGAACAUUUUCAUUUUUGACAAAAAUCAUCUGAAAAGUGACAUAUUGGGUAAUAUUUGACAGAUUUUUCAUAUUUGAGCUUGAAUUUGAGCACAUUUAAUGACUAAUUCAGUUCAAAUCUUUCACAAAAACUAAUUAAAAAGUCUGCUGAAGUAGACACUUAAGUAUUUAAAAAGUGUUCAAAGUUUAUCAUCAGAUGAACCUGAAAUUUAGACCCAAAAUCGGUUCUUACCGGACGAAAUUGAUUUGAUAGAAUAAUUAUGAUAUAUUGUCAUAUUUAUGUAAUAUUGUUUAUUAUAUUAUGAGUAUGUUCCUGGCAACUAAGUAUUUGACAGGAAUACUCACCUGGACAGAAGUAUAAUCGUAACAGGCAAUCUUAAGAAUAAAGAAUACUUAGAUAUAGGUAGAUGUGGUAUGAGUGCCAAUGAGACAACUCUCCAUCCAAGGAUCAAUUUAUAAAAUUAAACAAUUAUAGGUUAAGGUAAGCCUUCAACACGAGCCUUGGCUCACACUGAACAGCAAGCUAUAAAGGGCCCCAAAAAUUACUAGCUUAAAACCAUUCAAAUUUGUUGUAAAAAAAAACACAAAAAAUACACAAAAAAACUUUUAUGUUUCAGAAGUUCAGUCAUCAGAAUUAUUAAUGAAUUAUAUAUUUUUUCAGCAACUAUGGUGAAGAUUAAAGCAAGGUGAUUAAACCACUGUGUAACCAUGGCAACUUUGACAGAAGAGGUUAAUGGGUUUAGCCAUGGAAAAAGAUCGGUUACCCCAGAUUCUGUUAAUGAAGAACAAGAGGUGAGUAACAAGGAAGAUAACUCUAAGUAUCAGGGAGGAUAACUCUGAAUUAAAGGAAGAAAAUUAUAUGGCUGUAUUAUCAGAAAGAGGUAAGUAUCAGGGAGGAUAACUCUGAUUUAAAGGAAGAAAAUUAUAUGGCUGUAUUAUUAAAGGAAGAAAAUUAUAUGGCUGUAUUAUCAGAAAGAGGUAAGUAUCAGGGAGGAUAACUCUGAUUUAAAGGAAGAAAAUGAUAUGGUUGUAGUUUCAGGGGGAG